rnacentral:rRNA from 1 species
UUGGAGGGCAAGUCUGGUGCCAGCAGCCGCGGUAAUUCCAGCUCCAAUAGCGUAUAUUAAAGUUGUUGCAGUUAAAAAGCUCGUAGUUGAAUUUCGGGGUUAGUAGGUUGGUCAUGCCUCUGGUAUGUACUGGUCUCACUGAUUCCUCCUUCCUGAUGAGCCGUAAUGCCAUUAAUUUGGUGUUGCGGGGAAUUUGGACUGUUACUUUGAAAAAAUUAGAGUGUUUGAAGCAGGCUCGCGCUUGAAUACAUUAGCAUGGAAUAAUGAAAUAGGACGUUGAUCCUAUUUUGUUGGUUUCUAGGAUUGACGUAAUGAUUAAUAGGGAUAGUUGGGGGCAUUAGUAUUCAAUUGUCAGAGGUGAAAUUCUUGGAUUUAUUGAAGACUAACUACUGCGAAAGCAUUUGCCAAGGAUGUUUUCAUUAAUCAAGAACGAAAGUUAGGGGAUCGAAGACGAUCAGAUACCGUCGUAGUCUUAACCAUAAACUAUGCCGACUAGGGAUCGGAUGAUGUUAAUUUUUUAAUGACUCAUUCGGCGCCUUACGGGAAAC